AUUGAACGCUGGCGGCAUGCUUUACACAUGCAAGUCGAACGGUAACAGGUUAAGCUGACGAGUGGCGAACGGGUGAGUAAUGCAUCGGAACGUGCCCGGUCGUGGGGGAUAACGCAGCGAAAGCUGCGCUAAUACCGCAUACGAUCUGAGGAUGAAAGCGGGGGACCGAAAGGCCUCGCGCGAUCGGAGCCGCCGAUGUCAGAUUAGGUAGUUGGUGGGGUAAAGGCUCACCAAGCCAACGAUCUGUAGCUGGUCUGAGAGGACGACCAGCCACACUGGGACUGAGACACGGCCCAGACUCCUACGGGAGGCAGCAGUGGGGAAUUUUGGACAAUGGGCGAAAGCCUGAUCCAGCAAUGCCGCGUGCAGGAAGAAGGCCUUCGGGUUGUAAACUGCUUUUGUACGGAGCGAAAAGGUCUCCUCUAAUACAGGGGGCUCAUGACGGUACCGUAAGAAUAAGCACCGGCUAACUACGUGCCAGCAGCCGCCGUAA
rnacentral:rRNA from 1 species